rnacentral:lncRNA from 1 species
UUCUCUUUUCUUUCUUCUCUGCCCUUCUCUAUCUCUUCUCUUUUUCUGCUGGUCACGGGCGAAGCAGGAAGGCAGCAGUGGUGGGGCCCACCCCAUUUACUUCCUCUCCUCCCUUUCUUUCUUUUCUCUCCUCUCACUUUUUCUCCUUCUCCCGUGUUCUUUCUGUCUCUCUCUCUCUUUUCUCCGAUGCAGCAAGGGGGAGGUAGGGGGCCAGCCAGAGGCAGG